AAUUACUGUUUGACUUCCUGGCCAAUAAGGACUUUCUUAAAGCACCAGAAAAGUGAAUAAUUAUACUUGGCUUAAGAAAUGUGGUUUCCUCCCACUGUACAAUGAUACUCUAAAUACAGAACUCAGUUAAGCUAUGAAAAGUAAUAAAUAUGGCCAAGACAGAAAACAGUAAAUUUUAUGACAAGAGGAGGAAUUCCUUGCUAAAAUGGACAAAAAGCAGCAUUUCACAAACAGGAAUUUUUGUUUAUUCUUUUUCCAUGUGCAUUCAUAGGCAUCCUAUGCAAAAGGAAGAAAAAACAUGGGAAAAGAACCUGAACAAUCCAGGCAGUGAACACAGAGCUCUGUAAGAUUCCUAUGCUGAGAAACAGAGUUAGCAGGACUUUUCAGAAAAGUGCAGGCUGGAAAGAAAAGGAUCAUGUUGUGUUGGCCUCCCAUCUCACUGCUGGCAAGCUGCAUCCUAUUUCAGUCUUGGUGUCAUUCACAUGACAUUAAAAAAUUCCCUUCUCCAGCAGAAGCCUAAGAAAACUAACAGGUGAAGGGAAAGACCCUGCUAGCUUCUGAAAAGGGCUGGACUCUCCUUCACCACCUACAUGUGGAGCUUCCUGUGCAUCAGUUUCUGGCCAUUGCUUCUUGUCCUAUUACUUGGCACCACCACACAGAACCUGGCUCCAUCCUCAACAUCCUCCCUUGAGAUACUUACAGACACUGAUGAAAUCCCCUCUCAGUCAUCUCUUCACCAGGCUAAACGGGGACAAUACCAAAUCCAGUUUUCCAUGAAAGGAUUCAAACUUUCAAGCAGAAGGCAAGACAACUGCCAGGUGAGCAAUUUGUGAUGCAGUUUCUGGGAGAUCUGCCCAAACAGUUUUGAUAAAUUUCAACAACUUAACUCUUAGGCUACUCUGCCUUAUCCUUCGGCCAUGGACUCGUGCAAGCACACCUCACCAGUGCUGUCUAUUCACCAGUAUUUGCUUCAAGAUAGCAGAAGAGGUUUUUAAAGCUGUCUCCUUUUUUGCAUGCACUUUUUGUCAAUGAUUCUCUAUCCUGUGUGCAGUGGUGUACAGUUUGUGUUCUGGCAGCAAAUUCCUGCAUGCCUCCAGUUCCCUAAACACUUUUUAGAACCCAUCCAAAAUUCUCAAGUCUGAUAAUGCUAGUAAACUGAUAUUGUUUGUCAAGUAUCUGAGGGAACAGUAAUAAAACAGAACCAAUCACACUCUCUUUGUAACAUCUGACUCUUAAUUGAGACAUAGUAAUGGUAUGGCAAGUAUUAAAAAGUAAGUAAAUGAUUAUGAGGUUAGUUUUACUGGAGAAAGAACCUUAAAUUUUCCUUUGGGUUUUGGAGAUCCAACUACCUGAAUACACCAUGCUGCUUUUGAAAGAAGUCAGUUUAUCAAUUCAAAAUGGAUAUCUCAUAAUUUUGCUCUGCAGGCUUAUUAUUUAUUGAUUUACAAUCUAUUCUUGAUUACUCCAACAGCAAGUAAACCUGUUCACAGGACUUCCACAGCAACUAAAAAAAAAAGAUGAGAAGAAAAUAUAAUCAUAGAAUGGUUUGCAUUCGAGAUGUCCAUAAAGAUCAUCUAUUCCAACCCCCUGCUAUAGGCUGGGAUGCCAUUCUCUAAAACAGAUUGCUUAGGGCCCCAUCCAACCUGUCCUUGAACAUUUCCAGGGAUGGAGUAUUCAAAAUUUCUCUGUGCCAACCUGUUCCAGUGCCUCACUACCCUCAGAGUACAGAAUUUCCUCCUAAAAUACUGUGUAAAUCUACUCACAUUAAGCCUGGCAUUCAGAAAUAUUCAGGUACCCAGGUAUCUGAAAAUGCCAUGCUGCUUGGGAAAGAAGUCAGUUUAUCUGUUCAAACCAAAUAUUCCAUCAUUUUGCUCUGAAGGUUUAUUACUUAUUGAAUUUCAAUUUACUAAUGAUUAUUUCAACAGGAGAUAAACCUGUUUCACAGAACUUUCAGAGCGACUGAAAAAAAAUCAACAAAAAAAUCAAAAAAACAAGAUCUGUAAUUUCAAAGGUCAGAAACAGAGUGAUGAGCAUAUUCCUACAGUCAACAGAAAUCAAAUAAAAACACGCAACAAGCUGUUGAUGUAUUUUGCCCUCUCCUACACUAAAUACAGACACAUAAUGCAGACGAUGCAUUGGUGCAUGUGAGAAUGGGGCACAGCAGUGGGAGAAGUAUGACAAAGGGGAAAAAAUUCUGAGUUCCUCAGAGCUGGGAAUCAGCACUGCAUCUAGAGAAACUAGCCAAGCUGAGAGGACUUUCUGGCUCCAGCUGCAAGGUGAAGACAUAGAUUCCAUGCUGUUUUCAGUCAGUAAAUCACACAACCAGAAGCCCACAGGAGUACGGAGGAACCAAUGGCACUACCAGGCAGCAAUGAAGCACAUGCAAGGCGCAAGUGGAACAGCCACAUUACCACGUUCCUGCCCAGUUUUAACCAGCCCUGUGUGAGCAGUGCACAGCAAUGGGAAGGGGCUGCUGGCCCCAGAUGCUGAGCAGAACGUUGGGUCCAUCCCUGCUGCAUGGCUGCUCACCUGUCUCAGGCAUCACGAGCCAGUGGUUUUGGUGCAUCCCCGGCUUCCAUCUUACCCACAGCUCUCUAAUCUCCAGGAUCUCUCCCAUUUUAAGGACUUCUCCUCCAGUCAGGAACUUCACCUUUUUCUGUUCAGGCCUCCCUCCUUAGUGUCAAGACCACUUCCUCCUGGAACCCCAGACAAGCCACUUCCCUUCAGGCCAGAUGUUUAAAGUCAGACUCCACAAUUCCAGGGAGCAAACAGCAAGCUGCUGCUUGAGACCUUGAAGGUUUGAAUUUUAUCACUAACCUUCACACAUACACUCAACUACCUGAUACUGGUAGUAUUGAUAAUUUAAACUUUUUUUUUUUGCCAACAAGACCAGCUAAUAUUAGCCUGAUUUCACUUCCAGUGAAGACAAGUGGAUUAAUUUUACUUGUUUCAGGAACUUUCAGUAAUAAGUAUUUUCAAAGAGCUGAUUAUUUGUUGCACAUAAAUGCAUUUUUCUGAAGUGGUUCAACUAAUCCAUUACAGUUGUUUGCCCACUGGAUUCAAUUAUUCAUAUGGGAAUAAAACUUUUCCAAAAAUGUUGCUAGUAUAAAAAGCUCCAGAAAUGUUCAUAUGUAUUAUAAAUCUCAUGCUCCUUAACAGAAUUAAGGAGAUAAAUGCAUUUUCAAGCUUUGCAGGGAUUAUUGGAGGGAGUCAUGGAACAAAAGAAAUAUAUGAUACAUUUUGUUAGCUUAUGGAUUGUAACAAUUUUUAUAUAACCAAUUUCUUUUAUUAAGUAAUAAUAAGC